CGAGGCGCGCACCACGCGGCCCCUUCCUCCAGGCAUUCGCACCACCCCCCACUCCCGUUGCAUGCUGGGAUUGUAGUUGAUCGCCUGCGAUCAACGGCCGGAAGCGGCUAAAACUACUCCUGCCUGCAUACCCCGCAGGAGCAAACCGCGCCAUGUCUCCCUCCAGGGAUCCGCACCGCUCACAAUCCUGUUUAGUGCUGGGAUUGUAGUCCUGCGAGCCUACGACUAAUAGCUGGAUUAACUCUUAAGUACUCCACAACUACACGCUUUUGAAACUGGCGUUGGCAUAGCGUUAGUUCUGUGCAGGGCGGACGCAGCAGGACAGAAUCUCCCUGGGCAUCUUUUCGGAGCAUCAAUUUUACUGCAAAAUUUUGAAAAAACAAAUUUAAUUGAUUUCCAAGGAGCUUCUGUCACUGCAGAACCAGGGUCACCUGUGGAAAAUCCUUGCUGAAGCCAUCUCCCUGUCUGCCUGUCCCUCAGGCCCAGGAGUCAUGAGUCCUUUCUCCAAUAAGUCAUUCAGUUGGCUGGCAGCAAACCCUGGUUUGUCAAGGAGGACAGAAACUCAGAGCACCCUGCACUUGGGGAUCGGCACUAGGAGCUGCUCUCUGGAUGGGGAGAUGGGAGCUAGCAGCUCACAAUGGGGUCACAAGAAUAUUGGUUCUUCUUUUAUCUGAAGUGAGGAGCACCAGAGGACUGAUCACGGCAUAGACAUUGACUACAAGACUCUGAACUUGCUGGUUGAUUGGGCCAUAUGCCCACAACAUUGCUGAGGAGAAGGAGAUGAUGAAAUCCACCCAACAGAGGACCACAGAGAAACUUACCAGCAGCAGUAUGGUCUGGAUGGCCCGUUUCUCAGGGGAAGCUCCUGGGGAAGGACCAUUGCUGUGAAGGUGGUGGGAUCACCUCUGAGGCCUGAAUAAGAGAGUCACCAUGUAUGCAAUUAAGAACAGCAGUAUUCCUACCAGGAAAGCAUCCCUAAGUGUUGUCAGAAUAAGAAACGUGGCCCUGAGGAUGAAGCUCAUGGAGAAAACUGAGCAGUACUUACCUAUAUUCAGUACAUUUGUCUGGCUCACACUGGAAGCAGCUACAGUGUAGAAGAUCCUGUUACUACUGAAAGACAAGUUGAGGAACCAUAAGAAGAAGAAAACAUGGAUAAUGUAAUUUGAAGAUUUAUGUUUAAACCUUGCCAAUCAGGAGGUGCUGGGGCUGAUGGUGGUGGCCUGGAACACACUCAGGGGGCAGGUGGUGCAGAUAGAGAGGCCCCACAACACCCUGCUCAGGUGGAAAAGUGCCUUACACUUGAAGUCAUUCUGAAGUUCAAUGAUGCAAACAGAUUUGGAGACUGCAAUAACAGUGCAAUGAAGAAGUUCACUAUGUGGACGAGGGGCAAGGGACAGAUGAUCAAGUCAGUGGGUUUUAGUCUGUGAUACAGAAGGAGAGUGAAGAUGCUGAAGAGGAACAGAAAAGUAUUGACUGAGAUUCCAACAGCAACUUGUAAAACAAAGCAGCUUUUUAAUAACAUACAUGAUAUAUAUGUACAUUGUAGUGGCAAAGAGGAAACAUAUUUGUAUAUCUGAAAAAACAAGUUUAGACAUCUUCAGUGCUGUUCUAUAGUUAAAAUUAUCACAACUAUGAUUAUGUUUAUUUCUCCCAAUUAUUAAGACUUACAAUGUAAUAUAAAUUAUUAGAAAA
rnacentral:lncRNA from 1 species